CAAAACAUUCAAAACUCCCUAC
rnacentral:miRNA from 1 species